rnacentral:snRNA from 1 species
GUCUCUUCGGAGACAUCUGACAAAAUUGGAACGAUACAGAGAAGAUUAGCAUGGCCCCUGCUCAAGGAUGACACACACAAAUCGAGAAAUUGUCCAAAUAUUU